CCCUCUGUGACACCACACACUUCUCAAUGUGCUAAAAUGAAAAGGGCGGAAUCAUAAAAAAAUGCAAUCAAAAGCCAUUAACGUUGAGCUUUCGUUUCUUUUCUCGUAACAGCGUUAACAAAAUUGUUCCAUUAUUAGCAUAGAAGCUCUCAAAACAACAUUCCAAGCAAAGCCAAAAAAAAUCCGAGAGAGUGGCGGCUACAUUCCCUUAAGCCAAAAAAAUAAAAUCCUCUCCAACGUGCUGCUGUGCCCGAGAGUUUCAAAAUGAAAAAAUAUAUCUCCAUCUCCUAGGUGGCGGCUGGACCAUCUUCUCAUUGCUGGACACCACCCUUUGCUGCUGUGCUGGACUAAGACCGUGACACUUGCUGGACACAACCCUGCUGGACCAGCUGCUGUCCGCGUGAAGGCUUGCUGGACUUUUGAUGUGACCUGUUGUACGCUGCUGCCAAGCUGGACCUGCAACCAAGCUGCUGGAUUCUCCUUGGACGCGUGUUGCUGCUGCUGGACGUAGGAUGUUACUAAUGCCCGCGUGUUGCUGCUGGUUUCCCGUGUGCUCUUUCAUUUUGCUGGACCGAAUCAGCGUGGAUCUUUCAAUUGAAGCAGUGACCUCUUUCUUCUGCUAGACGUGCUUGCCAUCCGUUGGACCGCUUCUCAUGUGGCUUCUUCGUGCACCUCCAUGCUUUAAUGUCCGUGUGCUGCCAAAAAGAAAGUGAAGAAGUCUCUCCGUGGCGGCUGUUCACUUCAAAAAUAUAUGGGUCAAUGACCUGCUCUCCUUUUCAGCUUGCUGGACGUCCAGCCCAUCCCGUGUGCACCUCUCCAAAGCUGCUCCUGCUGGACCAAGGCCGUGACACUUCCUCCAAGCUCCUCCUAGACGUGUGCUGUCUUCUUCAAAGUUGCUGGACCGCUUGUUCUUUUGCCACCACAUGCUGCUGCUCCGCGUGAAGAUAACUGAGUGCUAUUGUUGGGUCGUGUUUCCUCUCCGGGUCGUGGCAGCUGCUGUGUGCACCAAGCCAAUGGCUAAUUCAACAAUUUCUUCAAUAUGAAGGCCUUGGGCCUUCUCUCAAGCGUGACAUCUCAUGGACGAAGAUCUGUUUGGUGAUGUCCAUAUUCAUUGGAGAUCCGUUGGUGGUGCGGUGGUGUGGGUGUUCGUGUUGCGGUGGUGUGUCGGUGGUGCAUUGAUCAUUCGCGGAUGGAGAAAGUUGCUGCUGGAGGAGAAAUGGUAAAAACACGCGGUGUAUCUUAUACUUCUCGUGGAGAGAGUUCUCGAGUGGAGAGUUCUGUGCAGGACGAAGCUAGGAGACGACCUAUAGUUCGGCUCGGAGAAGGCAUGCAGCUCCUAUUCAUGAUGACCCUAUUGCUGAGGAUUGAGCGACUAAGGAGGAGGCAUAUCAGGCCUAUGAGGAUGAUGUUCAGGAGGAGGCCUAUGAGGGUGAUGUUCAGGAGGAGGCAUUUGAAGCCCUUGACCACGAUGAUGAUGAGGAGGAGCAUGCGGAUGUUGGUGACAUAGAAGAGGAUAUCGGUGGAUUUCCUGAAGGUCCACGUGAUGCUUCAUUGUUGACGUAUUAUGUUAAGCAUGUUGCUUAUGGUAUUUCGAAAGGUCGGGUAAGUGCAGAACUUAAAUUUGAAUUAUUAAUUUGUUUUUCAAUACAAUUUAUAUUAAAUAUUGUUUUAUAGGAUCGAGGAAACAUGUUCAAGUUGAUCUCGCACGGUAAAAAAGUUAUUAAGUUAGGACUGUGCGCUGAGGGAAUUCAACACAUUGUGUUGAAUUCCUCUUUGAUGUCUCUCAUAGAGAUUUGCUAUGAUUAUGUUGAUAAGGGCUUGUUGCUUGGUUUCAUAGAGAGAUGGCAUUUUGAGACGAGUAGUUUCCAUCUCCCUGUAGGGGAGAUGUCGAUCACUCUUGCCGAUGUGUCGACUUUACUUCACCUCCAAGUGAUGGGUCAGUUAUGUGAUUUGGAGGAGCUGGAGUUUGAGGAGGCUCGUUCAGCUCUUGUGGACCUACUUGGCGUUGAUGGUGGCACAACUGGUGCUGAGAUGGAGGAGGCACGUGGUCCGAAAGUCAGACUUAGCUGGCUGAGAGAUAUAUAUGGUUAGAGGUGUCAGUCGCAACAUUGGGAUUAUGCUGCUAGAGCAUAUCUGUUGCAUCUAGUAGGAUGCACGAUUUUCGUAAAUAAGAGUGUCACUUCUAUACGCGUGUCAUACUUACUAUUAUUUAGAGAUGUACACGCGUGUGGCAGAUAUGCCUGGGGCAUUGCUGCACUCACUCACUUGUACGAGAAGCUCGGGGAUGCGAGUAUGGCUUCCACGAGACAGAUGGUUGGAUAUCUGACUCUGUUUCAGGUUAUUGGUAUGAUUGGAAGAGGAGCAAAAGUAUCCAGGAGUUGGAACCCAGGAGGGACAACAAAAGCACCGGGAUAGAAGGCUGAAACAAGGCUGAAGAAGGCCCGCAAGGUGCCUAGUUGCCCUUUUCUGGGGCCCUAGGCGCUGGUUGUCACGUAGCCACACCUGGUUUCCCUCUUUAGGGGCCCAUAGUGUCAAAAGUCUCGCAAGGGCACCCAGUUGCCCCAUUUGGGGCGCUGAGCACCACUCACCUCAUAAGCACGCUUGAGCACUCUCUCCAGGGACGCUGAGCGGUAGUUAGCUACACCGUAGGACGCCUGGUUGCCCUCAGCUAGGGCGCUAAGGGCCAGUCUCUUUGCAGUCACGCCCAGUUGCCCUUAGUUAGGGUGUUGAGCGCCAGCGACGUUUGGCCAUGAUCCAAUUUUGAUCUAUUUUAAGGUUUCUACACUCUAGGGUUCACAUCUUUGCAUGGGUGAAGCAAGGAAACACUAUUUUUGACCCUUUGGAGGGAGAUUGACAUGUGGGAGCUUUCACUUUCUAGGGUUUCCAUUCUUUCAUUCUUCCACUGUAAACCAAGGUUCUCCACGACAAUGGAGAACUAAACUCAUUUGUUGUUGGGGAUGAUGUAACCUCUAAACUUUCAUGUAUUUGAAUAUGAUUUAAACAUGUUAUGCUUUUUUCAUUGAAUGUUAGUGAUUUUCUCCUAUUCUUAAUGCUUGUUAUGUUUUGGUCAUUCAUGACUUGAUGUUUGAUUUAUUUGAGUAUUGGGAAAUAUCUUAUGAAUCAUGAUCUGGAGGAUUUCACACAAAGCAAAUAUUGCCUAGGGAUAGG